rnacentral:rRNA from 1 species
UACGUAGGUGGCAAGCGUUGUCCGGAAUUAUUGGGAGUAAAGUGUGCGUAGGCGGUUUUUUAAGUUUGAUGUGAAAGCCCACGGCUCAACCGUGGAGGGUCAUUGGAAACUGGGGGACUUGAGUGCAGGAGAGAAGAGUGGAAUUCCACGUGUAGCGGUGAAAUGCGUAGAGAUGUGGAGGAACACCAGUGGCGAAGGCGACUCUUUGGCCUGUAACUGACGCUGAGGCGCGAAAGCGUGGGGAGCGAACAGG